rnacentral:tRNA from 1 species
GGUUAUGGCUCAGUGGUAGAGCACUUGCCUAGCAUGCAUGAGGCACUGGGUUCAAUCCCUGGCACCA